rnacentral:rRNA from 1 species
GCUAAUACCGCAUAAGCGCACGGGGCCGCNUGGCCCUGAGUGAAAAACGAUAGUGGUAUAGGAGGGACCCGCGUCUGAUUAGGUAGUUGGNGAGGUAACGGCCCACCAAGCCGACGAUCAGUAGCCGACCUGAGAGGGUGACCGGCCNCAUUGGGACUGAGACACGGCCCAAACUCCUACGGGAGGCAGCAGUGGGGAAUAUUGCACAAUGGGGGAAACCCUGAUGCAGCGACGCCGCGUGAGUGAAGAAGUAUUUCGGUAUGUAAAGCUCUAUCAGCAGGGAAGAAGAAGGACGGUACCUGAGUAAGAAGCCCCGGCUAACUACGUGCCAGCAGCCGCGGUAAUACGUAGGGGGCAAGCGUUAUCCGGAUUUACUGGGUGUAAAGGGAGCGUAGACGGCAGCGCAAGUCUGGAGNGAAAUCCCAUGGCUUANCCAUGGAACUGCUUUGGAAACUGUGCAGCUAGAGUGCAGGAGAGGUAAGCGGAAUUCCUAGUGUAGCGGUGAAAUGCGUAGAUAUUAGGAGGAACACCAGUGGCGAAGGCGGNUUACUGGACUGUAACUGACGUUGAGGCUCGAAAGCGUGGGGAGCAAACAGGAUUAGAUACCCUGGUAGUCCACGCUGUAAACGAUGAUUACUAGGUGU